CUUAAGUGAUCUUAACUUGUUUGAGUGGUAUUUAGGAGUUGGUGUGAUGAACAACGAGGAGAGUUCUAUGGAUAUACAACGGAGACUCCAACCGGCCAUGAAC